rnacentral:rRNA from 1 species
GCUCUGUGGGAUCAGUGGCGAACGGGUGAGUAACACGUGAGCAACCUGCCCCUGACUCUGGGAUAAGCGCUGGAAACGGCGUCUAAUACUGGAUACGAACCACGAAGGCAUCUUCAGUGGUUGGAAAGAAUUUCGGUUGGGGAUGGGCUCGCGGCCUAUCAGCUUGUUGGUGAGGUAAUGGCUCACCAAGGCGUCGACGGGUAGCCGGCCUGAGAGGGUGACCGGCCACACUGGGACUGAGACACGGCCCAGACUCCUACGGGAGGCAGCAGUGGGGAAUAUUGCACAAUGGGCGAAAGCCUGAUGCAGCAACGCCGCGUGAGGGAUGACGGCCUUCGGGUUGUAAACCUCUUUUAGCAGGGAAGAAGCGAAAGUGACGGUACCUGCAGAAAAAGCGCCGGCUAACUACGUGCCAGCAGCCGCGGUAAUACGUAGGGCGCAAGCGUUAUCCGGAAUUAUUGGGCGUAAAGAGCUCGUAGGCGGUUUGUCGCGUCUGCUGUGAAAUCCGGAGGCUCAACCUCCGGCCUGCAGUGGGUACGGGCAGACUAGAGUGCGGUAGGGGAGAUUGGAAUUCCUGGUGUAGCGGUGGAAUGCGCAGAUAUCAGGAGAGAACACCGAU